GGACAACGGCUACUGCCCUCCGCGCGAGCGCCAGUCCCCGCCCAGGAGCUCCCGCCGCUGGCGCUAGAGCACGCGGGGACCCCGGGGCCGCGCGCCUGGCCUCGUGGAACCCAGAGCGGCGCUGGCCACCACGCCGGGUCGGGUUCCCGCGGGAGGCCGGGCGCGACCCACCCCGCAGGACGGCGCGUGGCUGUGGGGAAGGGGGGGUGCUGCUGGCCCCUCCCCGCCCUCCCGCUGCCGCGCGGUCAGCCCGUCCCUGCCAUCCCCGCGCGCUCCCUCCGCACGCCCAGGCGCAGUGCCCGCCGCGGCCCGUUUCAUCCUCCGCACCAGCCUCCCGCGGCGGGAUUAGCCACAUUUUGUACCAACGAAGGCCUCCACCCUCCGGGAAGACAGCCACUGGCCCAAGGUGACACGGCUGGAAAGGAAGAGUGGAGGGACUUGAAUCCAGGACUUUUUUUUCCCUUUUACUCUACUUCGCGUGGCCCCUGGCGGCUAGGGUGCGGGGGAACCUAUCUGUAGCCCCGUGCGACCUGUGCGGUGACUCCCCGGUUGCGCCUCCAGGGGACCGGCUGGGUUUGGAGGCAUCGGCUGCCGUGAUGCAGGUGCUAAAACCUGAAGAAGAUGUUCCUUGGCUGCUUCCUCACUGGGCUUGUGCUGAGGUACCCGAUGAUCUACUGAGGUGGCAGGUAGGAGGUUGAGGGACAGCCAAGUGGUGAUAACAAGAAAGCCUGCCACUUCUGGAAUACUUCGGAGGUGCCAGGCGCUCUGAGAAGCUCUUCAGAAGAUUUCAUCCUCACAAACCCAGGAGGCAGUAUGAUUCUUCUGCUUUAACCCAUGAGAGAUCCAAAGCUUUCAGAGAACUAAGGUGAAAAUGACCCAGUGAGGAAGGAAAAUGAGCAAGGCCUGCCCUGGUCACAUAAUUAAAACAUAUAUGCUGGCCAAAGGUCAUUUUCCUAGUUGGGUGAGGAGACGCUUCAGACGUGAGAUGAGCUACAGCUGGUAGCUGGUUCUCUCCUGGGAUGUGCGUUUAGAUCCCCAUCUUGUUGAUCCCAAAGACUCUACCUGCACCCAAGAUCUGAAAGUUUUAAUGUAGGUCAUUCAACCAAGUGGAAAGAACCACAGCAUCCCUUUGUAAUGGAAAACCAAGACUAUCACUUUAAUUCUGUACCUGAUCAUGUCCACCUUUACCUCGGCCACUAGGAAACUCAGAACCAAAUGAAGUACAUAAAA